UGGAGUAAAAGGCUAUGGNUCAACCAUAGUGUGCUCUGGAAACUNUCUGACUUGAGUGCAGAAGGGGAGAGUGGAAUUCCAUGUGUAGCGGUGAAAUGCGUAGAUAUAUGGAGGAACACCAGUGGCGAAAGCGGCUCUCUGGUCUGUCACUGACGCUGAGGCUCGAAAGCGUGGGUAGCGAACAGGAUUAGAUACCCUGGUAGUNCACGCCGUAAACGAUGGGUGCUAGGUGUUAGGCCCNUUCCGGGGCUUAGUGCCGGAGCUAACGCAAUAAGCACUCCGCCUGGGGAGUACGACCGUAAGGUUGAAACUCAAAGGAAUUGACGGGGGCCCGCACAAGCGGUGGAGCAUGUGGUUUAAUUCGAAGCAACGCGAAGAACCUUACCAGGUCUUGACAUCCCGAUGCUAUUCUUAGAGAUAGGAAGUUACUUCGGUACAUCGGAGACAGGUGGUGCAUGGUUGUCGUCAGCUCGUGUCGCGAGAUGUUGGGUUAAGUCCCGCAACGAGCGCAACCCUUAUUGUUAGUUGCCAUCAUUAAGUUGGGCACUCUAGCGAGACUGCCGGUAAUAAACCGGAGGAAGGUGGGGAUGACGUCAAAUCAUCAUGCCCCUUAUGACCUGGGCUACACACGUGCUACAAUGGUCGGUACAACGAGUUGCGAGCCGGUGACGGCAAGCUAAUCUCUGAAAGCCGAUCUCAGUUCGGAUUGGAGGCUGCAACUCGCCUCCAUGAAGUCGGAAUCGCUAGUAAUCGCGGAUCAGCACGCCGCGGUGAAUACGUUCCCGGGCCUUGUACACACCGCCCGUCACACCACGAGAGUUUGUAACACCCGAAGUCGGUGAGGUAACCUUUUAGGGG
rnacentral:rRNA from 1 species